UUGUAAGUACUUUUCUCCCCAUGCAAAAAGAAGAUGCUACCUGUCUGUGACUUAGAAAUGCAUACCUGAGAGCUGGAGAAGAUGAGACACAGACACUGUAUCCACAAAUAGGGAGCUAGAGAAGAUUUAUCCCAGAUUAUUGCAAAAUCAUGUCAGAGGAGAACUGCAAGGUGGCAGUGCGAAAGGAUGAAGAUAUGUUCACAGAUGAUGGAAUCUCUUGUGCUCUCUAAUUCCAUGAAAGUCUUAAAAAUGUGGCAAAAUACUUUCCCAUUAAGAGAAAGAUAAGAAAAAAUAUUGUGGAGGAAGAAUGGAGGAAGUAAAGAGAGAAAUGGAAGAGUGGAUAAAGAAUAUAUUAUGAGAGAGGUAAGUAUCACAGGGAAUUUGUAAUUUUUUCAAUGGUCAUACAGCAGCAGAUAGAUGAUAUGAUAUGAUAUGAUAUGAUAUGAUAUGAUAUGAUAUGAUAUGAU
rnacentral:lncRNA from 1 species